rnacentral:ncRNA from 1 species
AUUUAAGAUCUUGGGAGUCUCGUUAGGGAGGCUGAGAGUGUGAUAUACAGACCAAUAUUAUCUGAUCAACUUCAUGGUUGCGUAGAGAGUAUCUUACAAAGUCGAC